rnacentral:rRNA from 1 species
CCUACGGGGGGCAGCAGUGGGGAAUAUUGCACAAUGGGGGGAACCCUGAUGCAGCGACGCCGCGUGGGUGAAGGAGUACUUCGGUACGUAAAGCCCUAUCAGCAGGAGAGAAAAUGACGGUACCUGACUAUGAAGCCCCGGCUAACUACGUGCCAGCAGCCGCGGUAAUACGUAGGGGGCAAGCGUUAUCCGGAUUUACUGGGCGUAAAGGGGGCGGAGACGGAAGUGAAAGUCCGGAGUGAAAGCCCGGGGAUCAACCCGGGGAAUGCUCUGGAAACUGUAAAGCUGGAGGGCGGGAGGGGCAGGCGGAAUUCCUGGUGUAGCGGUGAAAUGCGUAGAUAUCAGGAGGAACACCGGCGGCGAAGGCGGCCUGCUGGACCGUAACUGACGUUGAGGCUCAAAAGCGUGGGGAGCAAACAGGAUUAGAUACCCUAGUAGUC